UGAGAUCAGGAGACAUCGUACUCUAUCAUUUGGUGUGAGACAUAUGCUAUCACUCCUCUAUCUUUGUUGUCUCAUUAUUAUCCAGUAUGUUAGUAGCUUGUGAGUCUAUUUAUUAUGUGUCCUUAUCUUCGUGCUCACAUGCUAUGCCUUGCUUCCAUGCUUAGUGUUUAAUCAGUUUGUUGCAAGGAAUGCCUCGUCUAUAAAAUCUAGGGGGGGUGUUAUUCCUUAGUUGUGUGCGGUACAUACCAUGACCUUUCUCUAAGUAUGCACACAUCCAGGG
rnacentral:lncRNA from 1 species